rnacentral:rRNA from 1 species
AAAAGGCGGUCUAGUUAGCAUUAUACCGUGAAACUGCGAAUGGCUCAUUAAAUCAGUUAUCGUUUAUUUGAUAGUACCUUACUACUUGGACAACCGUGGUAAUUCUAGAGCUAAUACAUGCUGACAACCUCGACUUACGAAGAGGUGUAUUUAUUAGAUAAAAAACCAACGCCCUUCGGGGCUUCUUGGUGAUUCAUAAUAACUUUACGGAUCGCAUGGCCUUGCGCCGGCGACGGUUCAUUCAAAUUUCUGCCCUAUCAACUUUCGAUGGUAAGGUAUUGGCUUACCAUGGUUUCAACGGGUAACGGGGAAUUAGGGUUCGAUUCCGGAGAGGGAGCCCGAGAAACGGCUACCACAUCCAAGGAAGGCAGCAGGCGCGCAAAUUACCCAAUCCCGAUACGGGGAGGUAGUGACAAUAAAUACUGAUACAGGGCUCUUUUGGGUCUUGUAAUUGGAAUGAGUACAAUUUAAACCUCUUAACGAGGAACAAUUGGAGGGCAAGUCUGGUGCCAGCAGCCGCGGUAAUUCCAGCUCCAAUAGCGUAUAUUAAAGUUGUUGCAGUUAAAAAGCUCGUAGUUGAACCUUGGGUCUGGCUGGCAGGUCCGCCUCACCGCGUGUACUUGUCCGGCCGGGCCUUCCUUCUGGAGAACCUCAUGCCCUUCACUGGGCGUGUUGGGGACCAGGACUUUUACUUUGAAAAAAUUAGAGUGUUCAAAGCAGGCCUUUGCUCGAAUACGUUAGCAUGGAAUAAUAGAAUAGGACGUGCGGUCCUAUUUUGUUGGUUUCUAGGACCGCCGUAAUGAUUAAUAGGGACAGUCGGGGGCAUCAGUAUUCAAUUGUCAGAGGUGAAAUUCUUGGAUUUAUUGAAGACUAACUACUGCGAAAGCAUUUGCCAAGGAUGUUUUCAUUAAUCAGUGAACGAAAGUUAGGGGAUCGAAGACGAUCAGAUACCGUCGUAGUCUUAACCGUAAACUAUGCCGACUAGGGAUCGGGCGAUGUUAUUUUUCUGACUCGCUCGGCACCUUACGAGAAAUCAAAGUUUUUGGGUCUGGGGGAGAGCCCCG